AUCCUAACCCAACAUCUAUUCUGUAAAUUUUUUAGUUCGAUUCCACGGAAUCUCCUUUACUUAGCUAAUAAAAUUAAGAAUAAACUUCAAAUACCACUCAUGUUGUUUCGCACUUUCUCACUUUAGUAUCAUAUAGUUUAAAGUGUAUCAAAUUAGUAUCAUGUGGUUUCAUUUUUAUCUUUUCGUCAGCUUUUUCGUUAAUAUUUCGUUAAAUUAUAUACAAAAAAUUUUAGAUAUCCUAUCUAGAUUUAUUGAAUAUUCACUUUAAUACCCUUUAGUUUUAACUUUGUCAUUGAUUUAACGAAAAAAAAUAGUGAAACCGAUAAUAAAAAGAUAAAAAUAAAACUACAAGAUACUAAAUUGAUUUACUGUGAAACCGCCGCAGAAAUAGUAUUUGAAGUUUUUUUAAAAUUAAUAUCUGACUUAAUU
rnacentral:lncRNA from 1 species